rnacentral:rRNA from 1 species
UAGGGAAUCUUCCACAAUGGGCGCAAGCCUGAUGGAGCAACACCGCGUGAGUGAAGAAGGGUUUCGGCUCGUAAAGCUCUGUUGUUGAAGAAGAACGUGCAUGAGAGUAACUGUUCAUGCAGUGACGGUAUUCAACCAGAAAGUCACGGCUAACUACGUGCCAGCAGCCGCGGUAAUACGUAGGUGGCAAGCGUUAUCCGGAUUUAUUGGGCGUAAAGAGAGUGCAGGCGGUUUCUUAAGUCUGAUGUGAAAGCCUUCGGCUCAACCGAAGAAGUGCAUCGGAAACUGGGAGACUUGAGUACAGAAGAGGGCAGUGGAACUCCAUGUGUAGCGGUGGAAUGCGUAGAUAUAUGGAAGAACACCAGUGGCGAAGGCGGCUGCCUGGUCUGUAACUGACGCUGAGACUCGAAAGCAUGGGUAGCGAACAGGAUUAGAUACCCUGGUAGUCCAUGCCGUAAACGAUGAGUGCUAGGUGUUGGAGGGUUUCCGCCCUUCAGUGCCGGAGCUAACGCAAUAAGCAUUCCGCCUGGGGAGUACGACCGCAAGGUUG